rnacentral:rRNA from 1 species
UGCGAACUGGAUGUUGGGUGCAAUUUGGCACGCAGUAUCGAAGCUAACGCGUUAAGUCGACCGCCUGGGGAGUACGGCCGCAAGGUUAAAACUCAAAUGAAUUGACGGGGGCCCGCACAAGCGGUGGAGUAUGUGGUUUAAUUCGAUGCAACGCGAAGAACCUUACCUGGCCUUGACAUGUCGAGAACUUUCCAGAGAUGGAUGGGUGCCUUCGGGAACUCGAACACAGGUGCUGCAUGGCUGUCGUCAG